UGGGGAAUUUUGGACAAUGGGGGCAACCCUGAUCCAGCCAUGCCGCGUGAGUGAAGAAGGCCUUCGGGUUGUAAAGCUCUUUCGGCGGGGACGAAACGGUCCGUGACAACACCACGGACUAAUGACAGUACUCGCAGAAGAAGCGCCGGCUAACUACGUGCCAGCAGCCGCGGUAAUACGUAGGGUGCAGGCGUUAAUCGGAAUUACUGGGCGUAAAGCGUGCGCAGGCGGCUCCUUAAGUCAGAUGUGAAAUCCCCGGGCUUAACCUGGGAACUGCGUUUGAAACUGAGGGGCUAGAGUGCAGAAGGGGCAAUCGGAAUUCUUGGUGUAGCGGUGAAAUGCGUAGAUAUCAAGAGGAACACCUGAGGUGAAGGCGGGUUGCUAGGCUGACACUGACGCUGAGGCGCGAAAGCUAGGGGAGCAAACGGGAUUAGAUACCCUUGUAGUCCCUGAGCGGGCUGGCAAGGCGCAU
rnacentral:rRNA from 1 species